UACGUAGGGGGGCAAGCGUUUGUCCGGAUUUAUUGGGCGUAAAGAGCGCGUAGGCGGCCCUGUAAGUCCGCUGUGAAAGUCAAGGGCUCAACCCUUGAAUGCCGGUGGAUACUGCAGGGCUAGAGUCCGGAAGAGGCGAGUGGAAUUCCUGGUGUAGCGGUGAAAUGCGCAGAUAUCAGGAGGAACACCGAUGGCGAAGGCAGCUCGCUGGGACGGUACUGACGCUGAGGCGCGAAAAGCGUGGGGAGCAAACAGG
rnacentral:rRNA from 1 species